AGUUGUCCUCAAUUCUUUAAUAUCAUCAUACUGACUAAUUCCUAAGACAUGGCCAGCUAAGUAGUUUAAAUGUCUUCUUGAAGCAACCCCAACAACAUAUAUAUCCAAUUUCUUCAACAAACACUACAAAGAAGAGGUAAAUGUGGCCUCGCGGAGGUUAUAAGCCUUUGCUAUUUUCUGUCAGCAAUUAGCGGAGACUUUCAACCUCUACAGAUUGCAGUUUUAACCUCCGCAAUUUACCUUUUUUUUUUUUUUGAGAAAUGAGUGGGAGAAUCUUGCUCUUGAUAUUGUUCUUUUGGGCUGUCCUCACCGUUGUGACCCCCAUCCUUCUUCGACUAACUGCAUCUGCCAGAGCAAAUGGUGAAUUUUUCGUCAUCACACACACCAGUGAGCUGAUAAACGCGAGGAUGAAGGCUGGAAAUGUUAUAGGAUUAUUGGCAAGAAGGGCACUUAUUGCAGAACACUAGCACCAGAAAUUGCGAUAUUUGAAUGAAAUCAAGAUUUUGAAUUAGAAUGCUUAUGAAGUUGAAGAUUUUGAAGACAUUAUUAUCGACAUGUUGCAUGGGAUUAUAGACUCCAUUUCUGAUUGCACAAGUUUGUGACAUGAACUACCAUCGAUACUGAAAAUAUUAUGUUGUUUGCGUACAUAGUAGUUCAGUUUAUUUCAAAUACAGAUGAUGAAGCACAAGUUUGUGACAUGAACUAUCAUCUGUACUGAAAAUAUUAUAUUGUCUGCGUACAUAGUAAAAGUUAAGUUUAUUUCAAAUACAGAUGAUGAAGUUGUAACUUUCUUCUUUGCUUUUUUCUUUUGCAAGUUACAAUAAUGAUAAAAGGAUAUUUAUAAACCUUGAGUAAAAAGCAAGGAUAAUAAAGAAAAGCAAUGUGAAGGACAA